AAUUCUCAAGCUUAUAGAUUGUUUUUCAUCUUAGGCUUGGUUGUUGGGCUUUGCCGUGCCCCUCUGAGGGAACGGCUGGCCUUAAAAGCAUUAGCUGACUCUCGUGUAGGAUUGGUUCUACUCAGCGUGAUAAUAAUUCUGACCGCCGAGGACAUCUUUCGGGAUGGCCAAUUCUCGCUUGGGUUGCUUCAAACUCUGGUUUACAGAUCUCUAUAUCUGUUCCACUAUCAA
rnacentral:misc_RNA from 1 species